GACGAACGCUGGCGGCGUGCUUAACACAUGCAAGUCGAACGGAAAGGCCCUGCUUUUGUGGGGUGCUCGCGUGGCGAACGGGUGCGUAACACGUGAGUAACCUGCCCUUGACUUUGGGAUAACUUCAGGACACUGGGGCUAAUACCGGAUAGGAGCUCCUGCUGCAUGGUGGGGGUUGGAAAGUUUCGGCGGUUGGGGAUGGACUCGCGGCUUAUCAGCUUGUUGGUGGGGUAGUGGCUUACCAAGGCUUUGACGGGUAGCCGGCCUGAGAGGGUGACCGGCCACAUUGGGACUGAGAUACGGCCCAGACUCCUACGGGAGGCAGCAGUGGUGAAUAUCGCACAAUGGGCGGAAGCCUGAGGCAGCAACGCCGCGUGCGGGAUGACGGCCUUCGGGUUGUAAACCGCUUUCGCCUGUGACGAAGCGUGAGUGACGGUAAUGGGUAAAGAAGCACCGGCUAACUACGUG
rnacentral:rRNA from 1 species